UGGCGGACGGGUGAGUAUGUCUGGGAAACUGCCCGAUGGAGGGGGAUAACUACUGGAAACGGUAGCUAAUACCGCAUAACGUCGCAAGACCAAAGAGGGGGACCUUCGGGCCUCUUGCCAUCGGAUGUGCCCAGAUGGGAUUAGCUAGUAGGUGGGGUAACGGCUCACCUAGGCGACGAUCCCUAGCUGGUCUGAGAGGAUGACCAGCCACACUGGAACUGAGACACGGUCCAG
rnacentral:rRNA from 1 species